AAUUCCCCGGGAUCUGGUUUGUAAUGCCCUUUUAUUUCCGCACCCAUAAGCCGAGCAAAAGUCGGGCAUCCUGGGACGGAACUCUGGAAGUUUGCUGACUGUCAAUAUAAAAUCGAAAUUAUGUAUUAAGUUAGACAAUCAAUCUUUUAAUUCAAUCAAUUGGUCCCAUGUAGCCCCAAAAGGGGUGACGUCUUCAGUCAGCUAAUUUAUCUGGAAAUCGGUUGCGAAUUCACCGGAUUCAGAGUGUCUGAAAACAUAAAGCACCACUUACCUGAACUGACUUGUAUUCUGUCUGACUGCCGCUUGGUCUGACCUAAGAUGGCCGCUCUGUCGGCACGCCUCUCAACCGAGAACGCGGCGUCUACGUAUUCAUGUCUGUGUCCAGGACUGAUUUUAGGCAGCCAUAGCAAAGAUGGGACCCAGCGCAACUACCUCAGGAGACGACAACAUGUUUAAAUCUAACGGGGGCCCCGUUAACCUGCCGAAACACUCCUACUGGCUAGACCUGUGGGUGUUCCUGCUUUUUGACAUCGCUUUAUUCCUCUUCGUGUAUUUCAUCGUCCCGUAAAGAGAGGAUCAUCCCUCUGACCGGCCAGCCACCAAGGAGCGCCGCUCAUACUCUUCUGUGAGAAGGCCAGCCCAGCUUUGACUGAAUUUAACCGUGCGGCAGCUUCCCCCAGCUCGGUCUAAAGAUGCACACGUUUUACGGGCGUGGCGUCCUGUCUUCAUAUCGGACUUCAGCCUAGAAGCUUUACACUAACUUGUAUGGAUUCCUGCUGUUGAUGUCAGGGAGAUGACAAUUUCAAGUGCUUGUUUUACUGAGAACUUAAAACUCCUCAACUGACUUCCAUCCUCAAGACUCAGAAAAAGUUUCUGAAUGAUUUAAGAAGCUUCGGUUAUCAUUGUAAAUGUUAUAUAAACUCUGAUUUUGUGUCUCCAUCUUGUCUGAGAUGAACAGAUAACCUUCAGGAAAUGUGGGGGUUGUCAUGGUAAGCCAAAGGCUAAACUGGUGUUGAGGCCGAUGAUGAUAUGAGCAGAGAAACGUAUUUGAACACCAUAUGAAACAAUGUGUUUAUGCGGUGCAACUCCACCUAAACUCUUGGCAAUUUGCACAUGGACGAGUCAUGCACAAAUAAAGUGUUCUUCCUCCCAGCUAAA